rnacentral:tRNA from 1 species
GCCGGGGUGGCGGAGCGGUCUAACGCGCAGCACUGGAAAUGCUGUCCUCCUCCGAGGGCUUGAGUUCGAAUCUCAACCCCGGCGC